rnacentral:rRNA from 1 species
AGCGAACGCUGGCGGCAUGCUUAACACAUGCAAGUCGCACGAACCUUUCGGGGUUAGUGGCGGACGGGUGAGUAACGCGUAGGAAUCUGUCCACGGGUGGGGGAUAACUCUGGGAAACUGGAGCUAAUACCGCAUGAUACCUGAGGGUCAAAGGCGCAAGUCGCCUGUGGAGGAGCCUGCGUUCGAUUAGCUAGUUGGUGGGGUAAAGGCCUACCAAGGCGAUGAUCGAUAGCUGGUUUGAGAGGAUGAUCAGCCACACUGGGACUGUGACACGGCCCAGACUCCUACGGUAGGCAGCAGUGGGGAAUAUUGGACAAUGGGGGCAACCCUGAUCCAGCAAUGCGUCGUAUGUGAAGAAGGUCUUCGGAUUGUAAAGCACUUUCGACGGGGACGAUGAUGACGGUACCCGUAGAAGAAGCCCCGGCUAACUUCGUGCCAGCCGCCGCGGUAA